CUCAUUGUUUAGGUUAUAUUUUUUGCGAGAGAGACCUGAUAGUGUCCGAAAAUAUGUCCAGCUAUUCAAGUGAGUCCGGGAACUCUCCUCCAAGCCAACGAGUUCGCUUGGAUACGCAAUCGUCAACGGAGGAGAGGUGUUCCGGACCUGCUCCGUCAACGGGAG